AUCAUGGACGAUUUGUCCCCUACCCACCAUGAUGCUAAGGUAGCUAUAGUUAAAAAACAAAAACAAAAAACAAAACAAAAAAAAAAAAACACCCCCACACACACAUAAUGGAAAUACCAAAUAAGAUAUACCAUUACGUGCAAGACUUUUGUUAUGUACAAAUUAUGCCCCGUGUGCUGAUGUACAUAGGGUAGACAGAUACAGC